AGGGAGACAGGUGGUGCAUGGUUGUCGUCAGCUCGUGUCGUGAGAUGUUGGGUUAAGUCCCGCAACGAGCGCAACCCCUACGUUUAGUUGCUUAACGCGUGAAGGCGAGCACUCUAGACGAGCUGCCGUUGACAAAACGGAGGAAGGUGGGGAUGACGUCAAAUCAUCAUGCCCUUAUGUUCUGGGCUACACACGUGCUACAAUGGCCGGUACAGACGGACGCAAAGCCGCGAGGUGGAGCAAAUCCUAAAAAGCCGGUCUCAGUUCGGAUUGCAGGCUGCAAUUCGCCUGCAUGAAGUCGGAAUCGCUAGUAAUCGCAGGUCAGCAUACUGCGGUGAAUACGUUCCCGGGCCUU
rnacentral:rRNA from 1 species